AUUGAACGCUGGCGGCAGGCCUAACACAUGCAAGUCGAACGGUAACAGGAAACAGCUUGCUGUUUCGCUGACGAGUGGCGGACGGGUGAGUAAUGUCUGGGAAACUGCCUGAUGGAGGGGGAUAACUACUGGAAACGGUAGCUAAUACCGCAUAACGUCGCAAGACCAAAGAGGGGGACCUUCGGGCCUCUUGCCAUCGGAUGUGCCCAGAUGGGAUUAGCUAGUAGGUGGGGUAACGGCUCACCUAGGCGACGAUCCCUAGCUGGUCUGAGAGGAUGAUCAGCCACACUGGAACUGAGACACGGUCCAGACUCCUACGGGAAGCAGCAGUGGGGAAUAUUGCACAAUGGGCGCAAGCCUGAUGCAGCCAUGCCGCGUGUAUGAAGAAGGCCUUCGGGUUGUAAAGUACUUUCAGCGGGGAGGAAGGGAGUAAAGUUAAUACCUUUACUCAUUGACGUUACCCGCAGAAGAAGCACCGGCUAACUCCGUG
rnacentral:rRNA from 1 species